rnacentral:rRNA from 1 species
ACACUCCUACGGGAGGCAGCAGUGGGGAAUUUUGGACAAUGGGCGAAAGCCUGAUCCAGCAAUGCCGCGUGAGUGAAGAAGGCCUUCGGGUUGUAAAGCUCUUUUGUCAGGGAAGAAACGGUGAAAGCUAAUAUCUUUUGCUAAUGACGGUACCUGAAGAAUAAGCACCGGCUAACUACGUGCCAGCAGCCGCGGUAAUACGUAGGGUGCAAGCGUUAAUCGGAAUUACUGGGCGUAAAGCGUGCGCAGGCGGUUUUGUAAGUCUGAUGUGAAAUCCCCGGGCUCAACCUGGGAAUUGCAUUGGAGACUGCAAGGCUAGAAUCUUGCAGAGGGGGGUAGAAUUCCACGUGUAGCAGUGAAAUGCGUAGAUAUGUGGAGGAACACCGAUGGCGAAGGCAGCCCCCUGGGUCAAGAUUGACGCUCAUGCACGAAAGCGUGGGGAGCAAACAGGAUUAGAUACCCUGGUAGUCCCAUGA